rnacentral:rRNA from 1 species
CCCUUAGAUGUUCUGGGCCGCACGCGUGCUACACUGAGUGGAUCAGCGGGUCAGGUUGCGCGAAAGUGUUUCCUAAUCUUGAAAUCCGCUCGUGAUGGGGAUUGACGGUUGCAAUUUUCCGUCAUGAACGAGGAAUACCUUGUAAGCGCGGGUCAUCAUCCCGCGCUGAAUACGUCCCUGCCCUUUGUACACACCGCCCGUCGCACCUACCGAUUGAAUGGUCCGGUGAAAUCUUCGGAUUGAGACUUUGUUUUCUUCACGGAAAACGCUGUUUUAAAAAGUUGAUUAAACCUUACCAUUUAGAGGAAGGUGAAGUCGUAACA